GAUGAACGCUGGCGGCGUGCCUAAUACAUGCAAGUCGAGCGAACAGACGAGGAGCUUGCUCCUCUGACGUUAGCGGCGGACGGGUGAGUAACACGUGGAUAACCUACCUAUAAGACUGGGAUAACUUCGGGAAACCGGGGCUAAUACCGGAUAAUAUAUUGAACCGCAUGGUUCAAUAGUGAAAGACGGUUUUGCUGUCACUUAUAGAUGGAUCCGCGCCGCAUUAGCUAGUUGGUAAGGUAACGGCUUACCAAGGCAACGAUGCGUAGCCGACCUGAGAGGGUGAUCGGCCACACUGGAACUGAGACACGGUCCAGACUCCUACGGGAGGCAGCAGUAGGGAAUCUUCCGCAAUGGGCGAAAGCCUGACGGAGCAACGCCGCGUGAGUGAUGAAGGUCUUCGGAUCGUAAAACUCUGUUAUUAGGGAAGAACAAAUGUGUAAGUAACUAUGCACGUCUUGACGGUACCUAAUCAGAAAGCCACGGCUAACUAUGUG
rnacentral:rRNA from 1 species